rnacentral:rRNA from 1 species
AUUGAACGCUGGCGGCAGGCCUAACACAUGCAAGUCGAACGGUAGCACAGAGAGCUUGCUCUCGGGUGACGAGUGGCGGACGGGUGAGUAAUGUCUGGGAAACUGCCCGAUGGAGGGGGAUAACUACUGGAAACGGUAGCUAAUACCGCAUAACGUCGCAAGACCAAAGUGGGGGACCUUCGGGCCUCACACCAUCGGAUGUGCCCAGAUGGGAUUAGCUAGUUGGUGGGGUAAUGGCUCACCAAGGCGACGAUCCCUAGCUGGUCUGAGAGGAUGACCAGCCACACUGGAACUGAGACACGGUCCAGACUCCUACGGGAGGCAGCAGUGGGGAAUAUUGCACAAUGGGCGCAAGCCUGAUGCAGCCAUGCCGCGUGUAUGAAGAAGGCCUUCGGGUUGUAAAGUACUUUCAGCGAGGAGGAAGGCAUUAAGGUUAAUAACCUUAGUGAUUGACGUUACUCGCAGAAGAAGCACCGGCUAACUCCGUGCCAGCCGCCGCCGUAA